GCCUCUAUAGAUCAGUGUUAGAUCACCUUCGCUGCGUAAAUUUGCCACGAGGAUACUUCGGAGGAGACGUAAGGUUCGACUCCUGCUUGGGGCG